CCUACGGUAGGCAGCAGUGAGGAAUAUUGGUCAAUGGGCGGAAGCCUGAACCAGCCAAGUAGCGUGCAGGAUGACUGCCCUACGGGUUGUAAACUGCUUUUAUACGGGAAUAACGCGCCUUACGUGUAGGGCUUUGCAUGUACCGUAUGAAUAAGGACCGUCUAAUUCCGUGCCAGCAGCCGCGGUAAUACGGAAGGUCCGGUCGUUAUCCGGAUUUAUUGGGUUUAAAGGGUGCUUAGACGGGCUGUUAAGUCAGCGGGAAAAGCCCGGGGCUCAACCCAGGAGAGCCGUUGAUAAGGGCUGUCUUGAGAAGUCGAGAGGUAUGCGGAAUGCGCAGUGUAGCGGUGAAAUGCUUAGAUAUGGCGCAGAACUCCGAUUGAGAAGGCAGCAUACCGGCGGCGAUCUGACGCUGAGGCACGAAAGCGUGGGUAUCGAACAGGAUUAGAUACCCCAGUAGUC
rnacentral:rRNA from 1 species